rnacentral:rRNA from 1 species
GACGAACGCUGGCGGCGUGCCUAAUACAUGCAAGUCGAGCGAAGUGGAGAGAGCUUGCUCUCAAAGCUUAGCGGCGAACGGGUGAGUAACACGUGGGCAACCUGCCUGACAGACCGGGAUAACUUGGGGAAACUCAAGCUAAUACCGGAUAGGAUCUCCAAGCGCAUGGUUUGAGAUGGAAAGUCUGAACGACACUGUCAGAUGGGCCCGCGGCGCAUUAGCUAGUUGGUGGGGGUAAUGGCCUACCAAGGCGACGAUGCGUAGCCGACCUGAGAGGGUGACCGGCCACACUGGGACUGAGACACGGCCCAGACUCCUACGGGAGGCAGCAGUAGGGAAUCUUCCACAAUGGACGAAAGUCUGAUGGAGCAACGCCGCGUGAGUGAUGAAGGUUUUCGGAUCGUAAAACACUGUUGUUAGGGAAGAACACCCGGGAGAGGAUCCCGGAUUGACGGUACCUGACGAGAAAGCCCCGGCUAACUACGUGCCAGCAGCCGCCGUAA